CAGCCAGACUGGAACUGAGACACGGUCCAGACUCCUACGGGAGGCAGCAGUAAGGAAUCUUCCACAAUGGGGGCAACCCUGAUGGAGCAACGCCGCGUGCAGGAUGAAGGCCCUCGGGUCGUAAACUGCUUUUAUGAGUGAAGAAUAUGACGGUAACUCAUGAAUAAGGGUCGGCUAACUACGUGCCAGCAGCCGCGGUCAUACGUAGGACCCAAGCGUUAUCCGGAGUGACUGGGCGUAAAGAGUUGCGUAGGUGGUCGGUAAAGCAAAUAGUGAAAUCUGGGGGCUCAACCUUUCAGGCUAUUAUUUGAACUCACCGACUCGAGAGCAGCAGAGGUAACUGGAAUUUCUGAAGUAGGGGUAAUAUCCGUAGAUAUCAGAAGGAACACCAAUGGCGUAGGCAGGUUACUGGGCUGUUUCUGACACUGAGGCACGAAAGCGUGGGGAGCGAACCGGAUUAGAUACCCGGGUAGUCCACGCCGUAAACGAUGGAUACUAGCUGUUGGAGGUAUCGACCCCUUCAGUAGCGAAGCUAACGCGUUAAGUAUCCCGCCUGUGGAGUACGGUCGCAAGACUAAAACAUAAAGGAAUUGACGGGGACCCGCACAAGCGGUGGAUUAUGUUCUUUAAUUCGAUGCUAACCGAAGAACCUUACCAGGGUUUGACAUCCCGAGAAUUACUCCGAAAGGAGUGAGUGCUUUAUUGAACUCGGUGACAGAUGUUGCAUGGCCGUCGUCAGCUCGUGUCGUGAGAUGUUUGGUUAAGUCCAUCAA
rnacentral:rRNA from 1 species